AUAGUAAACUUCAUCUGUAGUGAGCUAUUUUAAGAGUGUAACGUCAUGAGCAAUAUCGUUGAAUAAUCUCGAAUAUCAUCUAGCAUCUCUUUCUAUGUUUCUAUGACAGUUUGUUUGAACUGUCAGUGUAGCUGUCAGUAUAUUAUGAUAACAAACAUAAACAUUUGUCAAUGACACAAAGUUCACACGGACUUUGAUUUCUUCAAUAAAUCAAAUACAUAAGAUCUGCACUAUUUUACGAAGUAAGCCGUUCAUCGGAAAAAUAUUCAUCAGUCCGGCGUCCAUUAGUUAUCCAGCUUACAUUUGUAUUUGUUUUCAAAAAUAAAUAAAGGAAAAUUUAGAGCUUGAGAUACAUUUCAACGAAAUCGCAUGCCAAUGAUUUUCUCCGAAAAGGCGUUUUUUUUUCCUAAUCAAAGUUUUACCAGUCACACCGAAUGUUACUCCAACCAAGACAACACUUGAGAUAAAUCAUGAAAUGGAUAUUAAGGAAACGACGUCAUAAAAUAUAAAAAAAUUAAAUGAAUAGGACAUCAAAUAAUGUUGACGAUUUUACUACUUCGGGUUUAAUGAAAAUGUUUUAAUCAAAACAGUAUCUUAGCAACAAAUAGAAGAUAUAUCAUUUGAAAAUAAUGCACUUGUUGCACUCUAGUGAUAUACAUGAUAAAUAAAUUUGUCAUCGAAUCUUU